GACGAACGCUGGCGGCGUGCCUAAUACAUGCAAGUAGAACGCACAGUUUAUACCGUAGCUUGCUACACCAUAGACUGUGAGUUGCGAACGGGUGAGUAACGCGUAGGUAACCUGCCUGGUAGCGGGGGAUAACUAUUGGAAACGAUAGCUAAUACCGCAUAAUAUUAAUUAUUGCAUGAUAAUUAAUUGAAAGGUGCAAUUGCACCACUACCAGAUGGACCUGCGUUGUAUUAGCUAGUAGGUGAGGUAACGGCUCACCUAGGCGACGAUACAUAGCCGGCCUGAGAGGGUGAUCGGCCACACUGGGACUGAGACACGGCCCAGACUCCUACGGGAGGCAGCAGUAGGGAAUCUUCGGCAAUGGACGAAAGUCUGACCGAGCAACGCCGCGUGAGUGAAGAAGGUUUUCGGAUCGUAAAGCUCUGUUGUAAGAGAAGAACGGGUGUGAGAGUGGAAAGUUCACACUGUGACGGUAUUUUACCAGAAAGGGACGGCUAACUACGUG
rnacentral:rRNA from 1 species